rnacentral:lncRNA from 1 species
UUUUUUUUUAGAGAUGGAUAGCACGCUACCCGCUUCGUUUAUUUUAUUUAGAAAUAAACUUAAAUAAAAAUAUAAAUCAACUAGAAUUCGAACUUGGAUCUCAGGUAUUAACCACCGAGCCCUUUGCCACUUGCUCUAGGAACGGUCAGUAAAUUGGAUAUUAUUCAAAUCACAAAAAUGUGUGAUAUUUCUUUUCUUUCUUUCUUUUUUUUGUUAAAUUGUUCUAUACUCACAUAACAACGUAUCAAUA